rnacentral:rRNA from 1 species
AGUGAACGCUGGCGGUAGGCCUAACACAUGCAAGUCGAACGGCAGCACAGUAAGAGCUUGCUCUUACGGGUGGCGAGUGGCGGAUGGGUGAGGAAUACAUCGGCAUCUACUUUUUCGUGGGUGAUAACGUAGGGAAACUUACGCUAAUAGCGCAUAUGACCUACGGGUGAAAUCAAGGGAUCUUCGGACCUUGGGCGAUUGAAUGAGCCGAUGUCGGAUUGGCUAGUUGGCGGGGUAAAGGCCCACCAAGGCGACGAUCCGUAGCUGGCCUGAGAGGAUGACCAGCACCACUGGAACUGAGACACGGCCCGGACCCCUACGGGAGCCAGCAGUGGGGAAUAUUGGACAAUGGGCGCAACCCUGAGCCAGCCAGCCCGCGUGGGUGAAGAAGGCCUUCGGGUGGUAAAGCCCUUUUGUUGGGAAAGAAAAGCGGCAGAUUAAUUCCCCGCUGUUCGAACGUAACCAAAAGAAAAAGCACCGCCUAACUUCUU